GAGGGMAAGYCUGGUGCCAGCAGCCGCGGUAAUUCCAGCUCCAGUAGCGUAUAUUAAAGUUGUUGCAGUUAAAAAGCUCGUAGUUGGAUUUGUGGUGUUUUUUUUUUUAUUUGCUUUUUUUGGUUUUUUGUUUUUCUCUUUUUGAGAUGAAUUUAAGACUUGGAAGCGAGGACACCAUCCUUGACAGGUUUGAAAGUGAUAUUAUAUCACCGCAAACAUUGUCAUCCUUUACUUUGAAAAAAUUGGAGUGAUUCAAGCAGGCAAGAAUUAUAAUUUUAAUUUAACUUUGCUUCUGCACAUGUUAGCAUGGAAUAAUGCAAGAGGACUUGGGUUUUCUCUUUCAUUGGUUUCAGGAAUCCGAGUAAUGAUUGAUAGGGACAGUUGGGGGUGCUCGUACUCGACGGCCAGAGGUGAAAUUCUUGGAUUCGUUGAAGACGAACAACUGCGAAAGCAUUCACCAAGGAUGUCUUCUUUAAUCAAGAACGAAAGUUGGGGGAUCGAAGAUGAUCAGAUACCGUCGUAGUCCCAACCAUAAACGAUGCCGACCAGGGAUCAGCGAGCGUUGACUUGGCGUUCUCCAUUUUCUCUCUUUUGAGAAUUUUGUAGAUUUUGCCAACCUCAUUAAUUUGAAACGACCUCGUUGGCACCUUGCGAGAAAUCACCAGUCUUUGGGCUCCGGGGGGAGUAUGGUCGCAAGGCUGAAACUUAAAGGAAUUGACGGAAGGGCACAACCAGCAGUGGAGCCUGCGGCUUAAAUUGACUCAACACGGGGAAACUUACCAGGUCCAGACAUCAUAAGGAUUGACAGAUUGAAGAUCUUUCUUGAUUUGAUGGUUGGUGGUGCAUGGCCGUUCUUAGUUGGUGGAGUGAUUUGUCUGGUUAAUUCCGUUAACGAACGAGACCUCAACCUGCCAAAUAGGUUGUUCCCUUGCUGUUCUUUAUGGCGAGGGUGGUUGUUUGUGUUUCUUCCUUCGUUUUACGUUUGGUGAGAAGUACACAACUAUGACUGAUUCAUUUCUGUGAAUCAUGAUCAUACAACACUUCUUGGAGGGACUAUCAGUUCGCAUCUGAUGGAGGUUUGAGGCAAUAACAGGUCUGUGAUGCCCUUCGAUGUCCUGGGCUGCACGCGCGCUACACUGAUACAUGCAUCAAGCAGUUCAAUCAUACUGGACAUAAUUUUAUGUUUAGUGACACCUUUGCUGAUAGGCAUGGGGAAUCUUUGAACUUGUAUCGUGAUGGGGAUAGAUGAUUGCAAUUAUUCAUCUUCAACGAGGAAUUCCUAGUAAACGCGGCUCAUCAAGCCGCAUUGAAUACGUCCCUGCCCUUUGUACACACCGCCCGUCGCUGCUACCGAUUGAAUGGUUCAGCAAGUUCCACAGACUGGCUCCUUUCCUUGCUUUUUACCAAGUUGGAUAGAUGAGCCGGGAAGUGGCGCAAACUUGACCAUUUAGAGGAAGCAAAAGUCGUAACAAGG
rnacentral:rRNA from 1 species